UACGGAGGAUCCGAGCGUUAUCCGGAUUUAUUGGGUUUAAAGGGUGCGCAGGCGGGAGAUUAAGUCGGCGGUGAAAUUUUGCAGCUCAACUGUAAAAGUGCCUUCGAAACUGGUUUCCUUGAGUGUAGAUGAAGUAGGCGGAAUUUGUGGUGUAGCGGUGAAAUGCAUAGAUAUCACGAGGAACUCCGAUUGCGCAGGCAGCUUACUAAACUACUACUGACGCUCAGGCACGAAGGCGUGGGGAUCAAACAGGAUUAGAUACCCCCAUA
rnacentral:rRNA from 1 species